rnacentral:rRNA from 1 species
GAGUUUGAUCUUGGCUCAGGAUGAACGCUGGCGGCGUGCUUAACACAUGCAAGUCGAACGAAGCGCCUUAUUUGAUUUUCUUCGGAACUGAAGAUUUGGUGACUGAGUGGCGGACGGGUGAGUAACGCGUGGGUAACCUGCCCUGUACAGGGGGAUAACAAUCAGAAAUGACUGCUAAUACCGCAUAAGACCACAGCACCGCAUGGUGCAGGGGUAAAAACUCCGGUGGUACAGGAUGGACCCGCGUCUGAUUAGCUGGUUGGUGAGGUAACGGCUCACCAAGGCGACGAUCAGUAGCCGGCUUGAGAGAGUGAACGGCCACAUUGGGACUGAGACACGGCCCAAACUCCUACGGGAGGCAGCAGUGGGGAAUAUUGCACAAUGGGGGAAACCCUGAUGCAGCAACGCCGCGUGAGUGAAGAAGUAUUUCGGUAUGUAAAGCUCUAUCAGCAGGGAAGAAAGUGACGGUACCUGACUAAGAAGCCCCGGCUAACUACGUGCCAGCCG